rnacentral:rRNA from 1 species
AUUGAACGCUGGCGGCAGGCUUAACACAUGCAAGUCGAGCGGGCGAGGUUGCUUCGGUAACUGAGCUAGCGGCGGACGGGUGAGUAAUGCUUAGGAAUCUGCCUAUUAGUGGGGGACAACAUUCCGAAAGGGAUGCUAAUACCGCAUACGUCCUACGGGAGAAAGCAGGGGCUCUUUAUGACCUUGCGCUAAUAGAUGAGCCUAAGUCGGAUUGGCUAGUUGGUGGGGUAAAGGCCUACCAAGGCGACGAUCUGUAGCGGGUCUGAGAGGAUGAUCCGCCACACUGGGACUGAGACACGGCCCAGACUCCUACGGGAGGCAGCAGUGGGGAAUAUUGGACAAUGGGGGGAACCCUGAUCCAGCCAUGCCGCGUGUGGGAAGAAGGCCUUUUGGUUGUAAAGCACUUUAAGUGGGGAGGAGGCUUACCUGGUUAAUACCUGGGCUAAGUGGACGUUACCCACAGAAUAAGCACCGGCUAACUCUGUGCCAGCAGCCGCGGUAA